rnacentral:rRNA from 1 species
UACGUAGGGGGCAAGCGUUGUCCGGAUUUAUUGGGCGUAAAGAGCGUGUAGGCGGCUAGGUAGGUCCGUUGUGAAAACUCGAGGCUCAACCUCGAGCUGUCGAUGGAAACCAUCUGGCUAGAGUCCGGAAGAGGAGAGUGGAAUUCCUGGUGUAGCGGUGAAAUGCGCAGAUAUCAGGAGAACACCCGUGGCGAAGGCGGUUCUCUGGGACGGUACUGACGCUGAGACGCGAAAGCGUGGGGAGCGAACAGG